CCUGUAGUUGCUAUUGGAUGCAAUUCAACUCCAUUUCAAUCUAAAGAAUCAUUAUCAUAGGUUAAUAAAUUACCAAAACUAACAACUAAAAACACAAAAACAAGACAUCCAAUUUCAAUAAACACCAUUUUCACUAGCUACCCUUAAUAAGUUACCAAAAUAAUAAUUUAAAAUUCUCCCAAUUGAAACCUGAUCGCAACUUUUUCAUCAUUAAUCUUAAAAUAACCUUACAGUAUAUGAAAAUUUAACCCAUUAAAUUUAAAUUUUUCUUGUUUAACCCCAAAACCUAAAAAAUAAUAUAUAUAUUUAAAUAAGAAAAAAUGAACAUACCCCAUUUGAAGAAAAAAAUAAGCUCUAAAGGAAGAAAGGGUUGUAGCAUAUUUGCUUUCCUAUAUUUCUAUCCUUAUCUUAUUGUUUUCUUUUCUUUUAGGUAAUGAAAAUACCAAACAUGGAAUGGAAGAGAAAGUUGAUCCAAACUUCAGACAAGGAGUUAUAUAACGAAUCAACUAUUAAAAACAGAGAAAUAUAGACGCAGAAAAGAAAUAGCUAAAAGUAAGUGAGCCUUCUUUGUUCCUUUCUAUUAAGCAACAACAAUAAUAAUCAAAGGGGAUUGGAUUGGGGGAGAGAUGAGAAACCUAAAGUCCAAAAAAAAGGUCUAUCCAACACAAGUCAACCCUUGAUUUUCUUUUACUAAAUCUUUCAAGAAAACCGUAGUCACAAUGACUCAUCAAAACAAACCCAAUUUACCAAACAUAAAAAUGCAUCUAACGCAAAUCAAUUGUAAACAAAAACAGUAAUGCACCAAAAUAACAAGUCGAAAACCCUCAUCAUUUGACCAAGCAUGUCAGAUCUAAAUUGCUUAUACAAUAAAUACACAUUUAUAGUUAAAUUCACAUGUUAUAAAUAUGUAAAAUUUGUUACCCCUUAACCCGAACAGAAGAAGUGAACUGGUGGUGACUGGUAAAGACGAUCGAUGAUGGUGGUAGGCUGGUGGUUGAUGAAUGACGAGUUCUCACUUUUCAAACCUCACUGUCGCGACAGUGGAAACAAUUGAAGAGAAAAAAAGGCAGUGACUAGUGAAGAUAGUCGAUGAUGGUGGUGGUCGGUGGGCUGGUGGUCGAUGGGUGUUGAACAGUUGGAGUGGGGAAGGUAUGGUUAGGGAUUUAGAAAUUUGGGGGAGAAAUAUAGUAGAAAUCAAAAAAAUAAGAGAAGGCUUGGAUUAACAAAAUUAACUUUUUAGACAUGUAUUCGGACCAUGCCCAAGAAAAAAAAAGCUUUUUUUGAAGCCUAGUUGGUUUAGAAAAUGGGCCUCAUUUUCUAUCCAAGCUCAUAUUUCGGGACUAUAUUUUUGCCCUAUUUGAGUGGCUCAACC
rnacentral:lncRNA from 1 species